rnacentral:rRNA from 1 species
UGGCGGACGGGUGAGUAACGCGUAAGAACUUGCCCUUAGAGGGGGACAACAGCUGGAAACGGUUGCUAAUACCCCAUAAGCUGAGGAGCAAAAGGAGGAAUCCACCUAAGGAGGGGCUUGCGUCUGAUUAGCUAGUUGGUGAGGCAAAGGCUUACCAAGGCGACGAUCAGUAGCUGGUCUGAGAGGAUGAUCAGCCACACUGGGACUGAGACACGGCCCAG